CCAAGGCUAGUGUUUUCAAGCAAAUGCCUAGUACCACAAAACACAAUCAAAAGCCCAGGAAACUCAAGUAAAGAACUUUCAUGUUUGGAUGGCCCACCAGCCCAAGAAAAUGAAUCGGUGACAGUUUAGGAAAUUGGAGAAAGUUGGGUCGAUGCUUACGAAGGAGGUGAUCGAGAUGGAGUUGUUUCAAACCAACGCUGUAUCAUCUGUGAGGAGAGGGUAGGAUUUGAUUCCCUAAAUGUUUGGAUCUUGUUUCUAAUCUGACGGUCAAGCAAAGAGAAGAUGGAAUCAACAGACCUGAAGGUGUUGUUAUGGUGACGGUCGUUGCGUUCCUUCCAUAACCAGUACACAGUUGCUUGCCAGGAGAGGAGCGUAAGAAGACGGUCAGCUUUCCGCAGAGGAAGCGUCUCCAUUUGGGCGAUCGUUUGACUCCAAGACCUCAUGGGGGUGAUUCGACAUCGCGUUGUUACCAUUGUCCAGAGAGCGAAGCCGUAUGAGCAGUCAAAGUAUAGGUGAUCUCUUGAUUCAGGAGCCAAGUUGCAGAGGAGACAGGUAGGAUCUACUUGAAGCCCCCAUUGGAUCAUUCUGUCUCUAGUUGGACACCGAUCUAGAGUCACCAACCACAAGUGGAAAGAGUGUCUCGGGAUAGCACGCGGGAUCCAAAUUGCUUUAGUCCAAGAUGGUUCUGAAAUUGUACCUCGCAAAGUUCAAGCAUUGCUUCUGUCCUAGCCGGCGGUAGUCUCCAAUUCUCCUCUCGUCUCAGUGAAGCAAUGGUUGCAUUCAGCGGAAUUCCUAGACAGCCACCAGGAAAAACAUGCGACAUGGUUAUGGAGCUUGUAGGUGCCCAAUUAUCUAGCCAAAAACGAGCCGACCUUCCAUUUUCAACCCUCAUCUUGAUUAAGGGAGAUCCUUUAAGUACCACUUCCUUGAACCAAGCUGCCCAUACGGAAUCCUCUCUGAAGAAGAUUAUACAAAUAAGUCGCAUUGAGCAAGCCUUAUUCCACACAUGAUUUAGGUAGAAUAAAAGCCGAACACCAAAAAGUUGUGAUCCCCGCGAUCACCGUCUUGAUUAGGAGAAGCCGUCCCGCAAAAGACAGAGUUUUAACCGACCAAGAGGAGAGGCGAGAUUUGACUUGCUGGAGUAGAGGUUCACAGUUCACUAUAGACAGCUUUCUUGAGUUCAGAGGGACUCCUAGAUAACGGAAAGGAAGGGAGCCGUGCUGCAUACCAGUAGACGCUUGAAUAGUACUUAGUUCCUGUUCUGUUAAGCCCGAGGCAUAGAAGCUUGUCUUCUGGAAGCUAACCGCAAGGCCUGAUCUCAACUCAAAUUCUUUUAGUACCUGGAGUACAUUCUGGACAGAGCUAAGGGAUCCAUCAAUGAAGAUCAGGAGAUCAUCAGCGAAGGAGAGAUGGGCUUUGAUCCAAGAGAUGAAUUUUUGAGGUACUUGAAGACCUUCCAAACAGGAGAGGAGGAAUUCCCAAGACAGUGUGUCGAACGCCUUUGCAAUGUCAACCUUAAUGGUAAUCCUCUUUGACCCCGUAUGCUUGUGAUACCCAUGUAUUAAUUCACUCGCCAGUGUAGUAUUCUCGACCAGCAUCUGAAGUAAUGGGUUUGGAUUGGAAUCAUUUCUCAUACUAAUAUGCACAACACAAUCAAAGACUGAUAAUCAGUAUCUCUAAGUUCUCAAUUAAACAUAAUUUCAAUUCCUGGCUAGAAAAAUAUUACAUAUCUACAAGCACAUCAGAAUUCUUGGUUAAUUGAAUUCUUCCAAUAAAUAAUAUGUAUAUAUAGUUCAUUUUCUUAGCAAAGCUU